rnacentral:rRNA from 1 species
CCCUGCACUCUGGGACAAGCCCUGGAAACGGGGUCUAAUACCGGAUAUUGACCUUCACGGGCAUCUGUGAGGUUCGAAAGCUCCGGCGGUGCAGGAUGAGCCCGCGGCCUAUCAGCUUGUUGGUGAGGUAAUGGCUCACCAAGGCGACGACGGGUAGCCGGCCUGAGAGGGCGACCGGCCACACUGGGACUGAGACACGGCCCAGACUCCUACGGGAGGCAGCAGUGGGGAAUAUUGCACAAUGGGCGAAAGCCUGAUGCAGCGACGCCGCGUGAGGGAUGACGGCCUUCGGGUUGUAAACCUCUUUCAGCAGGGAAGAAGCGAAAGUGACGGUACCUGCAGAAGAAGCGCCGGCUAACUACGUGCCAGCAGCCGCGGUAAUACGUAGGGCGCAAGCGUUGUCCGGAAUUAUUGGGCGUAAAGAGCUCGUAGGCGGCUUGUCACGUCGGUUGUGAAAGCCCGGGGCUUAACCCCGGGUCUGCAGUCGAUACGGGCAGGCUAGAGUUCGGUAGGGGAGAUCGGAAUUCCUGGUGUAGCGGUGAAAUGCGCAGAUAUCAGGAGGAACACCGGUGGCGAAGGCGGAUCUCUGGGCCGAUACUGACGCUGAGGAGCGAAAGCGUGGGGGAGCGAACAGGAUUAGAUACCCUGGUAGUCCACGCCGUAAACGGUGGGCACUAGGUGUGGGCAACA